rnacentral:rRNA from 1 species
GACGAACGCUGGCGGCGUGCCUAACACAUGCAAGUCGAACGAGGUCCAUGCAGUGGCAACACUGCGGAAGACCUAGUGGCGAACGGGUGAGUAACACGUGAGGAACCUGCCCCGAAGACCGGGAUAACCCUCCGAAAGGAGAGCUAAUACCGGAUACCCCACCUGAUCGCAUGAUCGGGUGAGGAAAUGGAUUCCGCUUCGGGAGGGCCUCGCGGCCUAUCAGCUUGUUGGUGGGGUAACGGCCCACCAAGGCAUCGACGGGUAGCUGGUCUGAGAGGACGAUCAGCCACACUGGGACUGAGACACGGCCCAGACUCCUACGGGAGGCAGCAGUGGGGAAUCUUGCGCAAUGGGCGAAAGCCUGACGCAGCAACGCCGCGUGGGGGAUGAAGGCUCUCGGGUUGUAAACCCCUUUCAGCAGGGACGAAUCAAGACGGUACCUGCAGAAGAAGCCCCGGCUAACUACGUGCCAGCAGCCGCGGUAAU